rnacentral:pre_miRNA from 1 species
CCCUUAACUAAAAAAAAGAUUGUUUGAGGAUUUUAAGUUUUUUUUUAGUCUCGUUUUGGUCCCUUCUGUUAGGUUUCCGUUAGUUUUAAUAAAAAACGUUAAGUGUGGACAUGUGUCACCUUGUCAUUGGCUCUGAGAUUUUUUUUUUUACAAAAAAAAAAACUCAGAGCCAAUGGCAAGGUGACACGUGUCCAGAAGUUAACUUUUUUUUAAAACCCUAACGGAAACCUAACAGAAGGGACCAAAAUGAGACUAAAAAAAAACUUAAAAUCCUCAAACAAUCUUUUUUUUAGUUAAGGGA